CAGGGAUUGAAUCUGGGCCCUUGGCAGUGAAAGCACAGAGUCCUAACUACUGGAUCACCAGGAAUUCCUAGAUCUUCUGGUCGAAAUCCUGGUGUUCUUUCCACUUACUUGUAUUUUCUCUUAAGUCUACAUAUUCUUCUACUCUACAUCCAGAUCACUGGUUUUGUUAAUUUGUAGUUCAGUCACUCAGUCAUACAAGACUGAGCGGCUGAACAAGUAUGAGGAAGAGCACAGUACCAGCACAGCAUAUAGAGUGAAUGGUUCCCUUUCAUUGCCCCAGGGCCAGAGAGAGGUGGGUGGGAACGGAGACCUUAGUCUGCAAACCCUAGACCAAAUGUAGAGUCAAAAGUUAUUUUGCCCCAGGUACCGCUUACCUCCCCUACACCACUGUGCCUCCAGGCCUUCUAGAAUAGAACGUAGCAGCAGAGCAAUAGUCUAAAAAUAGGAGAGAGAGAGAGGGAGCAGGGCACAGCCUAUGUUAGGAGGAAAGACUGUCAAAGAAAGCAACUGGGACUAAUGAACUCUACAUUAGCCAUAUUCCAUUCUUUCGACUCAAGUCAAAUGUCGGUCCCCAUUAGGCAAUUGGCUUUGACAGGAGCCAUGCUAAUUACCACUUACCAACCUUUAAUUUCUGGGUAAAAGCAAAAGGAAAAAAAACUAAUGGAUUUUUCAUUUUCCAGAAAGAAAGGAAUAAAAUAAUAGUAGUCUGUUAAAAAAUGCAUUAAUUACAAGAAUUAUUAAUGUGCCUUUACUCACCAGAUUUUUUAAUUUCCUAAUUAACUUUUAUUAUCUUUUUUUUUUUUUGCCUUCAGCAUUUCUUUUCCUAUUUUGUUGUAUUUUGCCUUAAGUUAUUUUGGCUGUGUCUUAUAUUACUUGAGGUUUUUAAGGACCUUAGAAAUUAUCUGCUCCAAAUAUCCACUGCCUGAAUCUGCAACACAGCUGACAGGGUGAGGUCCUCUGCACUGUCAGGAAGCCCCCAGUAAAAGGAACAGAUCCCCUCCUCCCCAGGAAAUGCACUGAAUUUUCAGAUCGCACAUCCUUAACAUUGGCUGUUUGGUCAAACUAAGUCAGACAACACUUCCACAAUUAUCAAUACAAGGAAGUAACCAACAGGUUACUGCAGAGCUAUGAGAUUUUCUUCAGUAUUCUCUAACACCAUGUUACAGGAACUAUCACCAUGAAAAUUCUGGCUUUUCUCCAGCUUACAGUUAUUUUAAAAAUAGUUUAUUUAUUUAUUUAUCUGGCCGUGCCAGGUCUUAGCUGUGGCACACAGGAUCUUUUAGCCGUGGCAUGCGAACUCUUAGCUGCAGCAUGUGGGAUCUAGUUCCCUGACCAGGGAUUGAACCCAGGCCCCCUGCAUUGGGAGCAUGGAGUCUUAGACAGGUGACCACCAGGGAAGUCCCAACUUACAAUUAUUUUAAUAAGAACAGAAUGUGUAUCUUUUAUCACUUAACUAUUUAAUUAUAGACAAAAAGGAUAAAUUAGUGUUUUUAUUAAAGUUAUGAGAAGCUAGAAAAGGGGUUCCCCAGUGUCUUUGCCUCGUUCUUUCUAGCCUAGGAAUAGGAACUUCCUUCUUCUUAACAGCUGAUUGACAUAUCCUCUUCUGAUUUCUUUAAGAUCAAAUCCCUGUCUCUCCUAAAGAAGCUGCCGUUAUUAAGAUGUAGGUAAUCCCUUCAGCAGGCGCUGUCAAGUCAAGGAUAUGUAUCCCCCAUGAGCUCACAGGCUAAGUUUCCACUGAAAUGGUUUGCUGUCAGCCCUAACAUUCGAAUACUAUGAAAGGACUUCUAUUGAAUGCUUAUGUCACAUCAGUUCUUCCUUAGCAGUUAAGGAUCUACUCUGGUGACAAAUACUGGAAACAAAUGUGAGAGAAUGAGUUAGCAGCCAUCCAGGCCUUGAUGUCCUAGAUCUGCACAUUUGACUAUACUGAACUACACAAACGCAGAUGAAUGAAAGUCGUUCAGUCGUGUCUGACUCUUUACAACAGCGUGGACUAUACAGUCCAUGAAAUUCUCCAGGCCAGAAUACUGGAGUGGGUAGCCUUUCCCUUCUCCAGGGUAUCUUCCCAACCCAGGGAUCGAACCAGGUAGGAUUAAAGUCUACCAAAAACCUGAUGGUAGGAAAUUACCCUAGUUUACUAAUGAUGAGCAUGUUAAUCUAGUUUAGCAUGCAGUUGAUGCCAGUUUACAUUUUUCUAAGGCCCCUGAACUAAGGUGGGCUUAAACUUGAUGGAUUUCCUGGAGGUGCCGUUAAGGUAGCCGCAUUUCCUUCAGAUGUUGCUUAGUUAAAAGCUCCCAUCUCUAAACUUUUCCGGUGCUCCUCCUGCCAAUAGAGGGGACACAGGUUCGACCCCUGGUCUGGCAAGAUCCCACAUGCCAUGGGGCAACUCAGCCCAUGCCCCACAGCUCCUGAGCCCACCCACCCUAGAGCCCAGGCACCAGUGCUCUCUUGGUGACAGCACUGCAGUGAGAAGCCUGACACCACAAUGAAGAGUAGCUCUCACUCGCCGCAACUAGAGGAAGCUCACACACAGCAACAAGGACCCAGUGCAGCCAAAGAUAACAUUUAGUUUUUUAAAAAGUUAAAAUCCCUAAUCCUAAGGAAUGUGUACGUGUGGCCCUAAGCAAAACUGAAAGACAGCAUGCUUUUCUUCUAGAAGAAUCUUAAAUCCUGAAGGUCAGCUGGCCUUUCAGGCAGGCAUCUUCCACCAGUGUGCUGACCCACUUGCAGGUCCCUGAAAGCUGCUGUGUUUGAAAAUGAGGAGGCUAUUAAGACUCUUCCAUCACAUUAUACUUCACUCAGCUAGCAAUUAUGAAUAUGAGCUUAGCUCUGUGGAAGACGGAAAGGAACGGUCAGCAGUCAUACUUUGUGAGUCUGUUCCCCUGGUAUCCAGAGAAGAAAACAUCCUCUCAAUGCCUUCCAGCUAGCCUUUGCCAGUUUUCCUGAUACUAAUCCUGACCAUCAGAAACUUUCCUUAACUCCUGGUAGGAAUCUCUAAGCUUUAAAGUUUAGCAUCUAAAAAAACCACAUGCUGGAAGUUUUCUUUAGCAUCUAGGAUUUAAGAGCCGUAAACAAGGUGUGUAAUCAAGGAAGGAUUCCGGGGCUAAUGGGGAGUAUUAAAAUUUGAUUAGGGUUUGAACCUGAGCAUGUGUUUACUCCCACCUCCAUCUGAGCAGACCCAGAUCCUGGUCCAGGUGAGGCUCAACAGUUGCUUUGUGUUCUCUUUAACAGAAAGAGAAACGAGAAAGGAAUCUCCCCCUCCUUUCACCAUCAUCCACUUACUUCUGUGGGAAAUUAUUGAGGAAUGGGAAAAUGAAACAUUUAUAUACAUAAUAAAUUUCAAUACAUAUGCCUCUGUCUCAGACCAAGUCCAGAUCCUGCGACUCUGUAGGUCCCAGAGUUUGUUUGUUUUUCUGUUUUCUUUGACCUUGAGGCCCGGCUUGCAGGAUCUUGCUUCCCCGACCAAGGAUUGAACCCAGACCCUCAGCAGCAAAAGGGCAGAGCCCUAACCAUUGGACCACCAGGGAAUUUCCUGGAGGGCCUUGUAUUAAAAGUUAAAGCAGUCAAACUACAGGCUGAGAAGUAGCACCACUCACUCUGUUUGGUUUGAAAUAAACCUGAAGCUCUCAUCCAUAAGAAUUGCAACAGCAAUAUUAACUUACUGAUUACCAUUAGUAUGGGUAUUUUACAACAGCAGGUUCAAAUGGAACUUUAAGCAUGUCAUCAUGAUGUUGUCUGUUUAAUUAUAGCAUAUUUGUUUUCAAAUUAAUUUUGGCCAAAAUAUGAGGGAUAAUCAUUUUGCUCUUUGAGAACAGUGUUUAAAAAUUGCUUUUAAUAUGAGGGAAAUUCAUUAGACAGUUUAUAUCAAAGUAAACUGAAAUGUUAUUCUGGACACUUAACUAUGUAGCUUUUACCUAUUAUAAAUCAAAGCAAGGAAGAUGAGGAAAGAACAACUUCUAAGCACAAUGAAUGUGGAAGGAAAGCCCCAUGAUUGCAUUGACAAUAAUGGCAAAAGCCACAAAAAUCUUUAUCAAAAAUUCUCUUCUUUGAUCAAACCUGUGGUUGCCAAGGGGAUGGGGGAGGGAGGGGGAUGGACUGGGAGUUCAGAGUUAGUAGAUCCAAACCAUUACAUUUAGAAUGAAUAAACAAGGUUCUCCUCCAUAGUACAGGGAACUAUAUCCAGUUUCCUGGGAUAAGUCAUGAUGGAAAAGAAUAUUUUUUAAAUGUAUAUCAUAUAUAUAUAUGUAUGUAUGUAUACAUGGGUCACUUUGCUAUACAGCAGAGAUUGGCACAACAUUGUAAGUCAACUCUACUUCAGUAAAAAAUAAAUAAAAAUAAAAUACUCUCUUUGGGUUCCAAA